rnacentral:rRNA from 1 species
UAUGGCCAAACCACCCUGAAAACUGAUCUUGCCAUAUCCUGAAAGCUAAGCAAAAUAGGGUCUGGUUAGCAAUUGGAUGGGAGACCAAGUAAAAUAAAUUAGGUCAAGGCUAGGC